rnacentral:rRNA from 1 species
UUCAAUACUAUUUAUUUAUUUAAAUAGUGUGCACUUCUCUUUUAGUAAGACGUUGUGAUCCAUUAGAAAUUGAUUAUUUUUAUUUAAAUAAUCAUUAGGCUAUCAAUAGAAUGAUAUUGAAGUUCAUCAAUUACAAAUAAUACAAUUUAUUAAUGAUUGUAUAUAUUGUAUUGUGAGCAUAUUAUAUCUGGUAUAGCUGUCUGAUGGAUUUUAAUGGUUAUAACAUUAAUAUAUUUUAUAUAUUACCCAUUWUUAUUUUUGGGAUUUAGUUAUAUGCCGGAUCAACAACGGUUUCAUUUGGGAUACCUUUUGGACCCGUCUUGAAACACGGACCAAGGAGUCUAUCUAGUGUGCAAGUAAAUGGGCAAUUGAAACCUAUUUGCAUAAAUAACUUAACUAUUAUUUAAUGGGAUUACAAAUAUAUGAAAUUUAUUUUUUAUAUAUUUUUCCAUCCCGGGGUAUUUUCAUAAUAUAUGUGAAUUUUAUUUAUAUAUAGAAAAUAUACCAUGAGCAUACUGGAUAUGACCCGAAAGAUGGUGAACUAUGCCUGAUCAGGUUGAAGUCAGGGGAAACCCUGAUGGAGGACCGAAGCAAUUCUGACGUGCAAAUCG